rnacentral:rRNA from 1 species
AACGAACGCUGGCGGCAGGCUUAACACAUGCAAGUCGGACGAUGUAGCAAUACAUAGUGGCGCACGGGUGAGUAACGCGUGGGAAUGUACCAUUUGGUGGGGAAUAACUCCGGGAAACUGGAGCUAAUACCGCAUACGCCCUUCGGGGGAAAGAUUUAUCGCCAAAUGAUCAGCCCGCGUGAGAUUAGGUAGUUGGUGGGGUAAUGGCCUACCAAGCCGACGAUCUCUAGCUGGUCUUAGAGGCUGACCAGCCACACUGGGACUGAGACACGGUCCAGACUCCUACGGGAGGCAGCAGUGGUGAAUAUUGGGCAAUGGACGAAAGUCUGACCCAGCCAUGCCGCGUGAGUGAUGAAGGCUCUAGGGUUGUAAAGCUCUUUCGCCGAUGAAGAUAAUGACGGUAGUCGGAGAAGAAGCCCCGGCUAACUUCGUGCCAGCCGCCGCGGUAAUAC